CCUACGGGAGGCAGCAGGGGGGAAUAUUGCACAAUGGGGGAAACCCUGAUGCAGCGACGCCGCGUGAGUGAAGAAGUAGGUAGGUAGGGAAAGCUCUAUCAGCAGGGAAGAAAAUGACGGUACCUGAGGAAGAAGCCACGGCUAACGACGUGCCAGCAGCCGCGGUAAUACGGAGGGGGCAAGCGUUAUCCGGAUUUACUGGGUGUAAAGGGAGCGUAGACGGCAGCACAAGUCUGGAGGGAAAUGCCGGGGCGUAACCCCGGAACUGCUUUUGAAACUGUGCAGCUAGAGUGCAGGAGAGGUCAGUGGCAUUCCUCGUGUAGCGGUGCAAUGCGUUGAUCUUAGG
rnacentral:rRNA from 1 species